rnacentral:rRNA from 1 species
UACGGAGGGUGCAAGCGUUGUCCGGAAUCACUGGGCGUAAAGGGUGUGUAGGUGGCGCCGUAAGUCGGGUGUGAAAUUUCGGAGCUUAACUCCGAAACUGCAUUCGAUACUGCGGUGCUUGAGGACUGGAGAGGAGACUGGAAUUCAUGGUGUAGCAGUGAAAUGCGUAGAGAUCAUGAGGAAGACCAGUGGCGAAGGCGGGUCUCUGGACAGUUCCUGACACUGAGACACGAAGGCCAGGGGAGCAAACGGG